GGGGCUGUAACGGUUUCGACGUUUUGACGAAAGUCACUUUGUGAUUCAGGCCGAGAGUGAGUCACCUCUCGUAAAUCCAGGCUCAAACAAAAAGUAAGUGCGAAUAACAUCGUUCCUUUUGCUCGCAAGCAAGCAGCCAUCGCUGUAGCUUAAAAACUCUUUAGCGAGCGUUCACGGUUUGACUCCGUUAAAGACCGUGAACCUAACCCCAACGGAUGCGCUAGUGCGUUCUCUCUGGUGGACUCAUUAGCAAAGACCUUUACCAGAGCAUCCUACUCUCAGGGAUAAAUGAGAGUCCCCGCCUCGCGGGCUAAAGAGGCUAAGCCUGUGAACGAAUGAAGUGUUAAUACUCAGGGCGGACACGGGUUCGACUCCCGUCAGCUCCAUCU
rnacentral:tmRNA from 4 species